GUGCCCUCAAUCUUAACCCAUUGUGUGCUCGUGUUGGUAUUUGUCCAGUCAUAAACCCUGGAGAGGUGGACCGCCUGAUGAUAUUUUUCCACACUCAGGAGGCCUAGACCACCUUCCAAGUGAGGCCUAGUCAGAAGUUUACAGAUGGACUCCAAGAAAAUCUUAGGGAAGGAAAUGGGAAUCGUUUGCAGUAGGUACAAGAUACAUGGAAGGAUAUUCCUCUUAAUAAUAUUGAGUAGUCUGAACCAUCCAAAAAGUGGUUUAUGCCAUGUUUUUAGAUCAUUUGUGAUGGCCGCCAAAAGUGGUGGAAAGAUGGUCUCAUACAACCGUUCCGGUCAUCAGGGGAGGUGGAUCCCU